AGAGAAAGUAAGGUAGUGCUUUAUGGCAAUGAGACAAGGAUAAGUGGUUAUUAAAGAGAAUCAUAUCCUGGAGAUGCAGUACUGUAGGGGUCCAAGCACAGGCUCUGGAAUCAGGUUGCCUGGAUUCACAUCCCAUCAGAUACUUACUAGGCCUGCAAUCUUGGGCACUGUACUGGAUGCUGAGGAUUUGGAGAUAAUAAUAAUGAUGAUGCCUAACAUUGGGUACCAGGCCCUGGGAUCAGCAUCUUCACGCAUCAUCCUAUUUAAUCCUAACUAUGUGAGUUUGACAACAACCUUGGAAGGUCAACAGAGUGGAAAUCGUUAGCCCCAUUUUACAGUUGAGGAAACUGAGACUAAGGGAGACCCAGUGACUUUUCCAGCAAGGACCCAAACGUCAAUGCAUUCAAAUCUCAAAUGAUGGUCCUUUGAGUCCAGGUCCAAGGGCUGUUUCUACUCUUGCACAGCUGCUGUUGAAAAUGCGAAGUUAGGUGGGAAUUUGUGCUGUUUGAACCCCGCAGUCAUUUGCCUUGAUCUGGAGGCUGGGACGUCCGAGAUCAAGAUGCCAGUAGAUUCGGUGCCUGAUGGAGCUCAGAAAGAUCAAGUAGCAGAUCCAUAGUCAUAUCUCGGUUAGACGGUCCAGGUGGCCGCAGACUCUGCAUCUCUCACCAGCUCCCGGGUGAUGCUGAUGUUGCUGCUCCUGAGACACCAUGAUGAGCAGCGAGGAUCUCGGCGGUGGACCUGGCCCUGACCAAAAUGACUUGGUGUCCUUGGGAGCGAUGGGUUUGCCUCUCAACAUGACACACCUGGUCUACCCUGGCCUGGUCUGGCUGCGGAGCGGCACGCCCCGGCCGUGGAAGCUCAGACAGCAGCUGCACAAGCCUGCUUCCUCCACCAGUUUCUCAGGAGGGGACCCUGCCUCCCAACUGCUUAAGCUGCUCCCGGUCAGAGCGAAUGGAUCAUGAUUUAAUGAAGAGAGCCAUCUGUUACAGGGUAAAAAUCCUAAUUAAGCAAUAUAUGAAUCAGAACAGAAUUAGCCAUCAAGUCGUCAGAGUUCUGUAACCGCGGAGAGGAACACGGCGUCGUUGCCACAUGGAAUAGUCUUCCUCUAAGGAAACGCAAGACUGCAAAGGGAACCCCACUCCGUCCCCUGGGAGGAUGCAGCCCCGACAGCAGGGGUCAGAUUCUGGGGCAUUAACUGAAAUGGACAACGGCUUCCUGAGGAACCCUGGUGUCCUGAGUAAUGAACACCCCUGCUGUUUGUCCGGCAUGUCAGUUUGCCAAAUGCUUUCCCACCCAGGAGUACCUUGAACCCUCUGCCACUCACCCCCGUGGAUGGGGCUGAUGAUCACGGCCAUAGGGUCAGUGAAUCACUCAAGAGCCCACAGCCAGAAAGGAGACAAGUCAAGCCCAGAAUGCAGGCCAUUGGCCUCCACAUCCUGCC
rnacentral:lncRNA from 1 species